ACAUACCGCAGUCUGAUGAAGCUACUUUCUUCGUCUCCUACUGGACGCCAGUGCGAUGAAGCGAACCAACCAACAUGGCGAGGCAUCGAUUUGGAGUCCCAGCUGACUUUGCACGCAUGGCCACCUCCACCCUGAGGCAGGUGAGUCUGGCCAGAGGUCACCAGUAUGAAGUCAGAUCCACCUCUCCUCCUAGUUUUACAGAAGCACUUUUCCAGUACAUCUGAGGGAACGCAUGCCUUCUCCGGCCGGCCUAAUGCUGUUUCCCAGGAGCAGCCUUCUGGAAGGUGGACCAUCAGGUAGAAGAAGUAUUCUUCAGAGAGUUGCAUUCCCAUGGGAAUGGUGACAGCUUGAGCUUGACGGGGAGUCCUGUUGUAUUCCGAGGUGUGAAGGGAAGGCAUGAACCGUGCAUAUGCUGUACCAUACAGUUUUGCCUACUGCUGUUUGUAGCUUCAUUGUAGCUGUGAAUGCUCCGUUCCUCUCCUUUUCACCCUUGAAGAUUCGCGAACAUACAGGAUCGGGCUGUGUGAGGCAGAGCAUCCCCCGCGUGGUAGGCAGGGGAGGAUGCGGGUCUGACGGCUCUCCCCACUGGGGCUGAUGGGAACGUGUUAGGGAAUCUCAGAGCUUGUGGCUAAACAGCCUGCCCUCCCACGGUCAGUGUUCCCACCAUCGCAGUGUGGAGGUUUUUGAUUUUCUGGAAGGUUUUUAUGGGUACAGAUUUUACAAAGGAAAAACGGGAAUGAAGACUAUCCAAUCAGAGGCUGCGUAGAUUGAGACACGGAUGGCCCUAAAGGCAGCAGAGACUGAUGUGCAGCCUACGGUUUUAAGGCUGCACCUAGGUUGACGUAAAACCUGUAGCCUAAAAGCCACGAACGUGCUUCCAUCUUUGUCAAAUAGGACAAGGGAGCCUCAGAGACUGUCUCCUGCCUGUGAGGGGGGAGAGACAGACAGGAUGGGGGAAAGGGGGAGGGGGGAGGAGAAGCGAAGAGAAGGAGGAGGAGGGAGAUCGGAGAGAGAAGGAGAAACUCUUGUCAAAAUCUUUUUAGUGCACAGAACUAAUUCUGUUCAUCUUGGAUUUGGUGAGCUGGAUAAUAUUCUGUGCACGGCUCCUAAAUGAAUUAUUAAAUGUCAACUCAAGAUGGCUUAACUAAAAUAUCCAAUUUAAUAACCAAAAGUAUCUAAGGUAACAAUAACAAUUUUACAGGUGAAUGUAGAGUUGUCAAGUCAAACCAUUAUAGACAAGCUUUUGGGGUUUCCACAUAAUCUCCCUCCACAUCUCAUCUUCUGUCACUAAAUACCCACUCUGGAGAACAUGUUCCAUUUCAAUAAAGAUCAUUUCUCCAGU
rnacentral:lncRNA from 1 species